AACGAACGCUGGCGGCAUGCCUAACACAUGCAAGUCGAACGCUCCGCAAGGGGAGUGGCGAACGGGUGAGUAACGCGUGGGAACCUGCCCAGUAGUUGGGGAUAACCGCGGGAAACUGCGGCUAAUACCGAAUACGCCCUAAGGGGAAAGGAUUUAUCGCUAUUGGAGGGGCCCGCGUCGGAUUAGCUGGUUGGUGAGGUAACGGCUCACCAAGGCGACGAUCCGUAGCUGGUCUGAGAGGAUGAUCAGCCACACUGGGACUUAGAC
rnacentral:rRNA from 1 species